AGCAACGUGGCUUAGUGGCAAGAGCCUGGGUUCGGGAGUCAGAGGUCAUGGGUUCAAAUCCUGGCUCUGCUG
rnacentral:tRNA from 1 species